rnacentral:tRNA from 1 species
UAACGUCAUAUCGGGCGGGGACUGAGAAUGCUUUAGGAUAGCAUUGACCUUCAUUGCUUGUUCCUAACCAGGAUAUUACC